GCAGGGUCCGGGUUAUCCAAUCUCUUUUGAAAGAGUUUUUGCGCCUUAGAUGUGUGAAGCGAGUCCGGAUCAUGCAAGACCUCUUUUCUCCUGCUCCUCUUGCCUUGGAAUAUUUUUCCAAGUAAUAAUUGGGAAGUAACUCGAUUUGGCUGUUGAAUAAAUCUUUGCCUUAGGUGGAUAGCUGGGUCCGGUAUUGGUCACUUGUAGAAUGGUAAUUGUAAGUACAAUAUAGUAUUAUACUCUGGAUCGGUUGCUUGGCUUGAGAAAAUAUUUCAAGUAGUACAUAAAUGGUUGGGUCCGGAUUGGUUGCUUAUAUCCGGAUUGGUUGCUUGGAGAAUUCUCUCCUUGAAAAAAUAAUUCAAGUAAUAAAUAAAUGAUUGAAUCCGGAUUUGUUGCUUGAAUCCGGAUUGGUUGCUUGGAGAAUUCUCUCCUUGAAAAAAUAAUUCAAGUAAUAAAUAAAUAAAUGAUUGAAUCCGGAUUGGUUGCUUAUAUCCGGGUUGGUUGCUUGGAGAAUUCUCUCCUUGAAAAAAUAAUUCAAGUAAUGAAUAAAUGAUUGAAUCCGGAUUGGUU
rnacentral:lncRNA from 1 species